GAUGAAGAACGCAGCGAAAUGCGAUAAGUAAUGUGAAUUGCAGAAUUCAGUGAAUCAUCGAAUCUUUGAACGCACCUUGCGCCCUUUGGCCAUUCCGAAGGGCAUGCCUGUUUGAGUAUCAUGAACACCUCAACUCUUUAUGGUUUUCCAUGAUGAGCUUGGACUUUGGGGGUUUUGCUGGCCUAUGGUCGGCUCCUCUAAAAUAAAUCAGCUUACCAGUGUUUGGUGGGUAUCAUGGGUGUGAUAACUAUCUACGCUUGUGGUUUUUCCGCCAGGUAACCAUCGACAGCGGAGGUUCACUGGAGCUCAUAGAUGUCUCUCCUCAGCGAGGACAGCCCUUUGAAUGUUUGAUCUCAAAUCAGGUAGGACUACCCGCUGAACUUAAGCAUAUCAAUAAGCGGAGGA
rnacentral:misc_RNA from 1 species